UUGAACGCUGGCGGCAGGCCUAACACAUGCAAGUCGAACUGUAACAGGAAGAAGCUUGCUUCUUUGCUGACGAGUGGCGGACGGGUGAGUAAUGUCUGGGAAACUGCCUGAUGGAGGGGGAUAACUACUGGAAACGGUAGCUAAUACCGCAUAACGUCGCAAGACCAAAGAGGGGGACCUUCGGGCCUCUUGCCAUCGGAUGUGCCCAGAUGGGAUUAGCUAGUAGGUGGGGUAACGGCUCACCUAGGCGACGAUCCCUAGCUGGUCUGAGAGGAUGACCAGCCACACUGGAACUGAGACACGGUCCAGACUCCUACGGGAGGCAGCAGUGGGGAAUAUUGCACAAUGGGCGCAAGCCUGAUGCAGCCAUGCCGCGUGUAUGAAGAAGGCCUUCGGGUUGUAAAGUACUUUCAGCGGGGAGGAAGGGAGUAAAGUUAAUACCUUUGCUCAUUGACGUUACCCGCAGAAGAAGCACCGGCUAACUCCGUG
rnacentral:rRNA from 1 species